UACGAAGGGUGCAAGCGUUAAUCGGAAUUACUGGGCGUAAAGGGUGCGUAGGCGGUUCGUUAAGUCUGUCGUGAAAUCCCCGGGCUCAACCUGGGAAUUGCGUUGGAGACUGCAAGGCUGGAGUCUGGCAGAGGGGGGUAGAAUUCCACGUGUAGCAGUGAAAUGCGUAGAGAUGUGGAGGAACACCGAUGGCGAAGGCAGCCCCCUGGGUCAAGAUUGACGCUCAUGCACGAAAGCGUGGGGAGCAAACAGG
rnacentral:rRNA from 1 species